rnacentral:rRNA from 1 species
UACGUAGGGUGCGAGCGUUAAUCGGAAUUACUGGGCGUAAAGCGUGCGCAGGCGGUUCGUCGUGUCUGGUGUGAAAGCCCCGGGCUCAACCUGGGAAUGGCAUGGGAAACUGGCGAACUGGAGUGUGGCAGAGGGGGGUGGAAUUCCGCGUGUAGCAGUGAAAUGCGUAGAGAUGCGGAGGAACACCGAUGGCGAAGGCAGCCCCCUGGGCUGACACUGACGCUCAGGCACGAAAGCGUGGGGAGCAAACAGG